AACGAACGCUGGCGGCAGGCUUAACACAUGCCAGUCGAGCGCCCCGCCAGGGGAGCGGCAGACGGGUGAGUAACGCGUGGGAACGUACCUUUUGGUUCGGAACAACUCCGGGAAACUGGAGCUAAUACCGGAUAAGCCCUAACGGGGAAAGAUUUAUCGCCGAAAGAUCGGCCCGCGUCUGAUUAGCUAGUUGGUGAGGUAACGGCUCACCAAGGCGACGAUCAGUAGCUGGUCUGAGAGGAUGAUCAGCCACACUGGGACUGAGACACGGCCCAGACUCCUACGGGAGGCAGCAGUGGGGAAUAUUGGACAAUGGGCGCAAGCCUGAUCCAGCCAUGCCGCGUGAGUGAUGAAGGCCUUAGGGUUGUAAAGCUCUUUUGUCCGGGAAGAUAAUGACUGUACCGGAAGAAUAAGCCCCGGCUAACUUCGUG
rnacentral:rRNA from 1 species